UGUUGCAGUUAAAAGCUCGUAGUUGGAUUUCGGAGUGGGCCAGUUGGUCCGCCGCAAGGUGUGUUACUGACUGGUCUGCUCUUCUUCGCAAAGACUGCGUGUGCUCUUUGUUGAGUGUGCGUAGGAUUUACGACGUUUACUUUGAAAAAAUUAGAGUGUUCAAAGCAGGCUAUUGCUUGAAUACAUGAGCAUGGAAUAAUGGAAUAGGACUUUGGUCCCAUUUUGUUGGUUUCUAGGACCGAAGUAAUGAUUAAGAGGGACAAUUGGGGGCAUCCGUAUUUCGUUGUCAGAGGUGAAAUUCUUGGAUUUACGAAAGACGAACAACUGCGAAAGCACUUGCCAAGAGUGUUUUCAUUAAUCAAGAACGAAAGUUAGAGGAUCGAAGACGAUCAGAUACCGUCCUAGUUUCUAACCAUAAACGAUGUCGACUAGGGAUCAGGCGGGCGUUAUCGUUACGACCCCGU
rnacentral:rRNA from 1 species